UGGGGAAUAUUGUGCAAUGGGCGAAAGCCUGACACAGCGAUGCCGCGUGAAGGAUGAAGGUCUUUGGAUUGUAAACUUCUGUUAUACGGGAAGAAAGGCAUGCAACUAAUACUUGCGUGAGAUGACGGUACCGUAAGAGAAAGCCCCGGCUAACUUCGUGCCAGCAGCCGCGGUAAUACGAGGGGGGCAAGCGUUGUUCGGAUUUACUGGGCGUAAAGGGUGUGUAGGCGGCAUUCUAAGUCAAUUGUUUAAACUUGCAGCCUAACUGCAAUUGUGCGAUUGAUACUGGAAGUGCUAGAGGCUGGAAGAGAGAAGUGGAAUUCUCGGAGUAGCGGUAAAAUGCGUAGAUCUCGAGAGGAACACCGGUGGCGAAGGCGGCUUCUUGGUCCAAGUCUGACGCUGAUACACGAAAGCGUGGGGAGCAAACA
rnacentral:rRNA from 1 species